rnacentral:rRNA from 1 species
UGGGGAAUAUUGGACAAUGGGCGAAAGCCUGAUCCAGCCAUGCCGCGUGUGUGAAGAAGGCCUUUUGGUUGUAAAGCACUUUAAGUGGGGAGGAAAAGCUUAUGGUUAAUACCCAUAAGCCCUGACGUUACCCACAGAAUAAGCACCGGCUAACUCUGUGCCAGCGGCCGCGGUAAUACAGAGGGUGCAAGCGUUAAUCGGAAUUACUGGGCGUAAAGCGCGCGUAGGUGGUUAUUUAAGUCAGAUGUGAAAGCCCCGGGCUUAACCUGGGAACUGCAUCUGAUACUGGAUAACUAGAGUAGGUGAGAGGGGAGUAGAAUUCCAGGUGUAGCGGUGAAAUGCGUAGAGAUCUGGAGGAAUACCGAUGGCGAAGGCAGCUCCCUGGCAUCAUACUGACACUGAGGUGCGAAAGCGUGGGUAGCAAACAGGAUUAGAUACCCUGGUAGUCCACGCCGUAAACGAUGUCUACCAGUCGUUGGGUCUUUUAAAGACUUAGUGACGCAGUUAACGCAAUAAGUAGACCGCCUGGGGAGUACGGCCGCAAGGUUA